AUAGUUUGUGCUUUUAAUUAUGUGCAUUUAUUUCAUUAAAGGGCUUGGUUCACUAAUGUACGUAAAUGGCACCGAAUUUUAGCCAUAUUAUAGAUUACUUAUUCUACAUUGAUACAUAUGCUGUCCGUAACAAGGAAACACCAUGCUUCAUAUAUAAGUAAAUAACUUUGAAAAAUAAUGUUUAUAUAUUACUCCAAACAUGCCCCACUUUCCAAAAAAAAUGUGAAUUUUUCAUGAAAUUUGAGACUUUAUUUAUGAUUUUCGCCUUGGCGGCAUCCUUUACCAGUCUUAAUAUUUUAACCACUACUUCGUACAUUAAAAACCAACAAAAAGUGCAAAAAUCAACGCUGGUGAGCAAUGCCGCCAUAUUCAAAAACGAAAAAAACGUCCGUCUCCGAGACACAUUUUUAUCCCAAAUUACACAAGCCUCGAUUUCGGUAAAAUGACGUUGAAGUUGACGUCACUUAAUUAGAUAUUUGUUUUCAUUAAUUUGUUUUUCAAGCAACAGCCAUUAGUGUUAAAAUCAAUAAUAUCGGACGAAGAUUUUUAAGUUUUUAAAACGUUUCAACAUUUAGUUAUCGCACAAGUGAAAUAUCACAAACCUAAUGAGUGAAUUAGCGAAUUGUUUCCCUUUGAAAUCAACACGCCAUUAUCGGUGGAUACAUUUCUGAAACUGGGUCAGAGAAUACAUGCAGUUAUUGCUCUGAAUAUACGCGGAUAUUUAAAGUGCAUGGCGGAUUUAUUAAUUGUUAUGGAUAACCUCCAGCAGUAAGAAAUAUAAAGGCUCACUGCAGUUUUGACUAUGCUCAACAAGUAUUGACCCCAUACUAUGCUCAGCAAGUAGGGCCCUUGUAUUUCUAUGAAUCCUCAUGCAGUACAGUACUGCUGUUGGAAGAGGAGCAAACAGUGUGGUAUCUUCAAGCAUCAUGGCUAUGGAGAAAAGAAUGUUUCAUUACAUAUGGACAAUUAUAGUGGACAAAAUAAGAAAAGUGUUGUAAUAAGGUAAGAAUUCCCAAUAAAUAAAUAUUUAUUAAGCACAUAGAAUUUGAUGUUGAAAUAUUUAAUUUUACAGUGUGUAGGGCGUGGGCAGUGUUGCAUUUUCCACUACUGCUCAUGAACAGACUCAAUCAAACCGAGUCUGCAAUUUUCACUGUUUGCCUUGUUCUCGGUGCUUCCGAGGGAUCUACUUUCCAGAUUUUAUUCAUACACUUCAGUUUGGAAAGUCACUAGUUUCCAGUUUAUAUAUAUAAUGUGCAUAAUUUUAGGUAAAUGAAAAAUAAUAUCUCCACUGAUAAACAUUGAAUUACAAUUUGAAUAUUGCAUACUUACACAACAUACUGUAUUAAGACUUAGGUGUGUAUGUAAGAAAAUUAACUGUGUAGCUGGCAUUUAUUUGUUUUAAUAAAGUGACGCUAUGUUAUUUUCUAAGGACUCACUAUUGCUACUUAGAAGAUUUUGUUUAAGAAUUCAUUGUUUAAAUAUACUCCUUAUUUUACCUAUGGAAUGUGGCUUGUUAUGAUGGGUCUACAUGCUGACUUGGAGUACAACCUGAUUGAGGCCCGGCAUACAGACAUCAGUCCUGAACAUGUUUAGGUAUAUUUGGCUUGAGCCUCUUUGAUCAAUUAUGUUUUUCAUUAAUAAUCAAGUAUUGAUAAAACUUGCUGCAGAGAUCAUGUCUGUAAAGAGGCCACUUACAUUUAAAUACCACAUUUUCUGUUUAUUUAUGUAUUCUGAAUGAAAUGAAGUCAUAUCAUAAACAAGAGGGUCAUGAUGACAAUGAAUCACUCACCUGAGUAAUAUGAGCCACAUGUUUCAAAUGGCAAACUGAAGCAAAAAUGUUAGAAAGUAGGUCAGUAGGUCAAAUUCUUGGUCACUGAAAGUCAGUUUUAAGAUUGGUGUGCAGAACUGUACAUGUCAUCCAAAUUUCAAGCUUCUAUCUUAAAAAACAAGAAAGUAGGUCAAGGUCACAGUCAAGUGACUCCUAAUCACUUAGGGUCAUCAGGUAAUUAUAAUUAAACAGUCUAGGAAAUAUGAUCUGAUAAUUUUUGAAGUAUUUAUUCUUAUAUAACUCAUAUAACAAGUGACCCCUGGGGCGGGGCCUCUUUUCACCCCAGGGGCAUAAUUUGAACAAAUUUGCUAGAUAUCCACUAGGCAAUGCUACAUACCACAUAUCAAAUGCCUAGGCCUUAAACUUCCAGAAAAGAAGAUUUUAUUUUUUUCCCUUAUAUAAAAUAGAGAAAAGUGGAAACUUCACAGGUCGCUCAACACGACAAAAACGAAAAUGUUGCAGGCUCGGUUUGAUUGAGUCUAUUUUAAAUUUGGGACACCCAGGGCAGGGCCUCAUUUCACCCCAGGUGCAUAAUUUGAACAAUUUUGGUAGAGGACCACAAGGCAAUGAAACAUACCAAAUAUCAAAAGCCUAGGCCUUGCCGUUUUAGGCAAGAAGAUUUUUAAAGUUUUUCUUAUAUAAGUCUAUGUAAAACUUAAGACCCCCCGAGGCAGGGCCUCUAUUCACCCCAGGGAUGAAUCUUGGAAGAGGACCACAAGGCAAUGCUUCAUAUCAAAUAUCAAAGGCCUAGGUCAUACGGUUUCAGACAAGAAGAUUUUCAAAAAAAAUUCCUAUACAAGUCUAUGUAAAUUUGGGACCCCCGGGGCUGGGCCUCUUUUCACCCCAGGGGCACAAUUUUAACAAUAUUCAUAGAGGACCAUUAGAUAAUUUCACAUGCCAAAUAUCAAGGCUCUAUGCCUUGCGAUUUGGACAGGAAGAUUUUUAAAGAUUUUCAUUAUGUUCACGGACGCACGACACACGACGGACAACGGACAUUGAGCGGUCACAAAAGCAUUAGCCUUUGGCUCAAGUGAGCUAAUAAAAAGGGUGAAAAUUCAGUAGAUAAUAGUCAUUUUUGCAAAUAUACCCCUGGAUAAUUCAACAGAUUUUCUGUAAUAGGGGGUGGGCAUAUGAAACCGCUAUAUUUCUGUAACUGUUGGUGAAAAGUUUCUAAUAUUUCACGAACAAUCUUGUAUUUGCACAUAGAUUUUAAAAAUGUUAUGAUACAGAGUAUCUAGAGACUAGUCCAUUAAGAUCCCAUUACGUUUAUUCCGAAGCUACAAGUUGUUUCAAAACAUGCCUUUUGUUUCAGGUAGUUGAAAUAUUCCAAUAUAUAUCAAAUGCAAGUGUAAAGAAAGAAAUUAUAUUGAAAAUAAAAGAAAUAAUUCACCUUUAAACACUUUUGUAUCAAAGGGAGAUAAUUACAAAAAUUCAUAAAAAGUAAUAGAUCAUACAUUUCCAAUAGGGAUCUAACUCUAUGUAAUGGGUCUUUUUGUUCCUUAAAUAAAUCUCUAAACAGUAUAUAUGAAAACUGAAAAAUGUCCGAAAAUGUUAGAGGUUAGUUAAUGAACAGUGUUAUAUUUAGAUAACAUGAUUAAAGUAAGUAGUCAGCUAUCCACACUUUAAAUCAACAGCAAUCAGACAUCAAGUCUACAUCCAAUCCUAUUUCUACCGCUAUUACAAAAUAAGUACUUUUCGUAUCUCCAGUUUGGAAGAGUAACU